CCUACGGGGGGCUGCAGUGGGGAAUAUUGGUCAAUGGGGGGAACCCUGAUCCAGCCAUGCCGCGUGUGUGAAGAAGGCCCUCGGGUUGUAAAGCACUUUCAGUGAGGAAGAACGCCUGGUGGUUAAUACCCAUCAGGAAAGACAUCACUCACAGAAGAAGCACCGGCUAACUCCGUGCCAGCAGCCGCGGUAAUACGGAGGGUGCGAGCGUUAAUCGGAAUUACUGGGCGUAAAGCGCGCGUAGGUGGCUUGAUAAGCCGGUUGUGAAAGCCCCGGGCUCAACCUGGGAACGGCAUCCGGAACUGUCAAGCUAGAGUGCAGGAGAGGAAGGUAGAAUUCCCGGUGUAGCGGUGAAAUGCGUAGAGAUCGGGAGGAAUACCAGUGGCGAAGGCGGCCUUCUGGACUGACACUGACACUGAGGUGCGAAAGCGUGGGUAGCAAACAGGAUUAGAUACCCUGGUAGUC
rnacentral:rRNA from 1 species